rnacentral:tRNA from 1 species
GCUAGGGACAUAGCUCAGUUGGUAGAGUGCUUGCCUUGCAUGCAUAGGCCCUGGGUUCAAUCCCCAGCACAGCA